rnacentral:rRNA from 1 species
AGGAACAGUGUGGUUAAUUCGAUGAUACGCGAGGAACGUUACCUGGGCUUAAAUGUAGAGUGCAUUUUUUAGAGAUAGAAAUUCCCUUCGGGGCUUUCUGCAAGGUGCUGCAUGGUUGUCGUCAGCUCGUGCCGUGGGGUGUCGGGUUAAGUCCCAUAACGAGCGCAACCCUUAUCGUUAGUUGCCAGCUGGUAAAGCAGGGGACUCUAGCGAAACUGCCACCGUAAGGUGAGAGGAAGGUGGGGAUGACGUCAAAUCAGCACGGCCCUUAUGUCCAGGGCUACACACGUGUUACAAUGGCCGGCACAGAGGGCAGCUACCUGGUGACAGGAUGCUAAUCUCGAAAACCGGUCUCAGUUCGGAUCGAAGUCUGCAGCUCGACUUCGUGAAGCUGGAUUCGCUAGUAAUCGCGCAUCAGCCAUGGCGCGGUGAAUACGUUCCCGGGCCUU